AACGAACGCUGGCGGCAUGCCUAACACAUGCAAGUCGAACGAGACCUUCGGGUCUAGUGGCGCACGGGUGCGUAACGCGGGGGAACCUGCCCUUAGGUUCGGAAUAACUCCCCGAAAGGGGUGCUAAUACCGGAUAAUGUCUUCGGACCAAAGAUUUAUCGCCUUUGGAUGGGCCCGCGUUGGAUUAGCUAGUUGGUAGGGUAAAAGCCUACCAAGGCGACGAUCCAUAGCUGGUCUGAGAGGAUGAUCAGCCACACUGGGACUGAGACACGGACCAGACUCUUACGGGAGGCAGCAGUGGGGAAUAUUGGACAACGGGCGAAAGCAUGAUCUAGCAAGGCCGCGUGAGUGAUGAAGGCCUUAGGGUUGUAAAGCUCUUUUACCCGGGAUGAUAAUGACAGUACCGUGAGAAUAAGCGCCGGCUAACUCCGUG
rnacentral:rRNA from 1 species